AGCCUGAUGAUGAGUUGAAUUAACCAUAGUUUGUAAACAGUUAUUAGCUAUUUUAGAAAGUUUAGUACUGACUUCUAUAUUAAUUGUAUGUGAAACUAUGUUUUUAGGUUUAGGUUGUGUAUGGUUAAUUAUAGUUUUAAUAGGUGCAUUCUCGAAUUCUAAUUUUAUGGGUAAUGUGUAGACUGUGGUUGCAAAUGCUUCAGUAUUGCAUUCAAAUUUCUUGCUAUAUGUUAGUUUAGAAAAAUGUCUAAUAUAAUCAGGAAUAUGUUUAAUAAGUGUGCCAUUAAACAUAAC
rnacentral:sRNA from 1 species